rnacentral:rRNA from 1 species
AUACGGAGGGUGCAAGCGUUGAUCGGAAUUACUGGGCGUAAAGCGCGCGUAGGCGGCUGAUUAAGUCGGAUGUGAAAUCCCUGGGCUCAACCUAGGAACUGCAUCCGAUACUGGUCAGCUAGAGUUUUGGAGAGGUAAGUGGAAUUUCCGGUGUAGCGGUGAAAUGCAUAGAGAUCGGAAGGAACACCAGUGGCGAAGGCGACUUACUGGCCAAAAACUGACGCUGAGGUGCGAAAGCGUGGGUAGCGAACAGGAUUAGAUACCCUAGUAGUCC